GCCAGACUCCUACGGGAGGCAGCAGUGGGGAAUAUUGCACAAUGGGGGAAACCCUGAUGCAGCGACGCCGCGUGAGCGAUGAAGUAUUUCGGUAUGUAAAGCUCUAUCAGCAGGGAAGAAAAUGACGGUACCUGACUAAGAAGCCCCGGCUAACUACGUGCCAGCAGCCGCGGUAAUACGUAGGGGGCAAGCGUUAUCCGGAUUUACUGGGUGUAAAGGGAGCGUAGACGGCGGUGCAAGCCAGAUGUGAAAUCCUGCGGCUUAACCGCAGAACUGCAUUUGAAACUGUUGAUCUUGAGUACUGGAGAGGCAGACGGAAUUCCUAGUGUAGCGGUGAAAUGCGUAGAUAUUAGGAGGAACACCAGUGGCGAAGGCGGUCUGCUGGACAGCAACUGACGGUGAGGCGCGAAAGCGUGGGGAGCAAACAGGAUUAGAUACCCGGGUAUAA
rnacentral:rRNA from 1 species